UAGGGAAUCUUGGGCAAUGGGGGAAACCGGGACAGAGCAACGCGGCGUGAGUGAAGAAGGUUGUCGGAGCGUAAAGCUCUGUGGUAAGAGAAGAACGUGUGUGAGAGUGGAAAGUUCACACAGUGACGGUAACUUACCAGAAAGGGACGGCUAACUACGUGCCAGCAGCCGCGGUAAUACGUAGGUCCCGAGCGUUGUCCGGAUUUAUUUGGCGUAAAGCGAGCGCAGGCGGUUUAAUAAGUCUGAAGUUAAAGGCAGUGGCUUAACCAUUGUUCGCUGUGGAAACUGUUAAACUUGAGUGCAGAAGGAGAGAGUGGAAUUCCAUGUGUAGCGGUGAAAUGCGUAGAUAUAUGGAGGAACACCGGUGGCGAAAGCGGCUCUCUGGUCUGUAACUGACGCUGAGGCUCGAAAGCGUGGGGAGCAAACAGG
rnacentral:rRNA from 1 species